AGUGCCAUGAUGAUGAUGAUGAUGAUGAUGAUUGAGGCGGUUUGCUUUUCGCCUUCAGCCUUUCCUCGUUAUCAGUUUUAUUUCUCUGUAAUUGAACUGCUUGUUAGGUUGUCCCGAAGGUGCUUUUUUAGGAGGCAACUGGACUUUCUUGCUUUCUUCUUUUGAAGACAUUUCGCUUCUCAUCCAAGAAGCUUCAUCAGCUCUGAAAAAGGUGCCAGAUUCAGCUCAGUUGCCUCUUGGGAAAAAAAAGUACCUUUGGGGCAACUAUGACCUAGAUAACUUCAGAAUCUCCAUAGACAUUCGGCUACCUGAUUUGGGUUGCAAAACUCCAGAUGCCCAGUAGGUGGAAUCAAGAGAAACAAAGACUACUAACGGUGGGUUGCAUCUCUGCCAGAUUUUUGAACCCGGAUCUGGGGACCCUAAUGUCCUCUUUUUUUCUUUAUAAAUGUUGGCAAGAGAUAUCUUGCAUAUGAAAAUCUCUUUUGUGCAGGUGCAUUUAGAUCAGCUUCCCUCGCUUUGUUUACUCAAACUACGUGGAGCAUAAUCUGUUUAUUUAAGUGAAGGCUCUGCUGAGAUGUCAUGGAAGUUGGAUAGGAUGCUCCCCCACACACGGUCUGUUAAGUCUGGGAUAUCACCCCGGCCCAAUCCUUUGGUCUUCACUGGAGGAAGAAUCCGGAUGGUGAUGUCCCCUUGGAAGAGAGAAAACAAAGAAACCUAUUGUGGCAUGGCUCGAGGACAUCACCACAGGAAUGAUUGGCACCUGCAAGGAAAGAAAAACAAUCACUGUCCAGAAGAGGGACAUCACGACCAUUGCAUUGCAAAAGUGGAAUCAUGAAGCUAACCUCUCUGCCAGCAGAGUAACACAUACAGAUGGUGGCUGUGUUGGACAUAAAAUCAAGAAGAACUUCAAUCCUACCAUCACAGUCACCAUCUUGGCUUGUUUGACCAUAUCCUAUAGACACACUGGCGGUUGCUUUUAGGUAGGAUUUGUUUUGUUUGUUUGUUUUUUACAUCUGUCUAAAGGAAAACUGAAGAGAAAUGACCUCCUCAUCGUUCCCACCACCCAUCUCCUUCCACUUAUGACUGUAUGACUGUAAUUUUGUUGCUUGUAUCCUUACGAUUUAUAUCGCUAUUGUUUCCUGAUUGCUUAUUUGUACCCUAUGACUAUCAUUAAGUGUUGUACCUUAUGAUUCUUGACGAAUGUAUCUUUUCUUUUAUGUACACUGAGAGCGUAUGCACCAAGACAAAUUCCUUGUGUAUCCAAUCACACUUG